rnacentral:rRNA from 1 species
GUAUCCUGGCUCAGGAUGAACGCUGGCGGCGUGCUUAACACAUGCAAGUCGAGCGAAGCACUUUACUUGGAUUUCUUCGGAAUGACGAGUAUUGUGACUGAGCGGCGGACGGGUGAGUAACGCGUGGGUAACCUGCCUCAUACGAGGGGGAUAACAGUUAGAAAUGACUGCUAAUACCGCAUAAGACCACAGCACCGCAUGGUGCAGAGGUAAAAACUCCGGUGGUAUGAGAUGGACCCG